rnacentral:rRNA from 1 species
UACGUAGGGGGCAAGCGUUAUCCGGGUUCACUGGGUGUAAAGGGAGCGUAGACGGCCAUGCAAGCCUGGAGUGAAAGCCCGGGGCCCAACCCCGGGACUGCUCUGGGAACUGUGCGGCUGGAGUGAGGGAGGGGCAGGCGGAAUUCCUGGUGUAGCGGUGAAAUGCGUAGAUAUCAGGAGGAACACCGGCGGCGAAGGCGGCCUGCUGGACCGCGACUGACGUUGAGGCUCGAAAGCGUGGGGAGCAAACAGG